rnacentral:rRNA from 1 species
AUGCUCAGAAAGUUGCAGAGGUGUUCUUGGACAAUGUUUAUAAGUGGGAUGCCAAAGUACAUUAUCUUUGACAGAGAUCCAAUAUUCACUAGCCAAUUUUGGAAAAUGUUGAUUGCUAGAACUGGGACUCAGCUGAAUAUGAGCACAACAAAUCAUCCUGAGACUGAUGGUCAGACUGAAAGGGUUAACCAGCAAGUGGAGUGCUAUCUCAGGUGUUUCAUUAGUGCUCAACCUCAUAAAUGGAGUAAGUGGUUGUCCUUGUGUGACUUUUGGUAUAAUUCCAAUUGGCAUUCUGCUUUGGGGAAGUCUCCUUUUGAGAUCCUGUAUGGGUACACUCCAAGAUAUUUUGGUGUUAGUGAGUCUGAUACAAUUGCACCAGUGGAAAUGGAAGAGCGGUUGCAAUCUCGCCAGGCGAUUACAGAGACAGCAAGACAUCAUCUGCAGCGAGCACAACAUCGUAUGAAAAGCCAAGCCGACAAACACAGGUCUAACAGAACGUUUGCUGUGGGAGAUCAGGUGUUCCUGAAAAUGCAGCCAUAUGCUCAAUUGUCAUUGUAUUCCAGGGCGAACCAUAAACUUGCUUUUAAGUUUUAUGGGCCAUUCCAAGUUUUGGAGAGGAUAGGGGACAGAGCAUAUAAGCUGGAUCUGCCUGCAACCAGCCGCCUGCAUCCUGUGUUUCAUGUUUCACAGCUGAAGAAGUUCCUACCCCGCGAUGCUGUUGUCAAUCAGUCCUUGCCUACACCCCAAGCUGCACUUCAAAUUCUGGUCCAAGUGUUGCAGCAUAAGGUGUGUCAGGUCGGUCGCCGGAAUAUAGUCCGAGGACUGGUUCAGUGGUCUGAUUCUUCGCCAACUGAUGCUACAUGGGAAGAUUUGGAGUUUCUCAAACAACAAUUGCUCCGUGCUCCAGCUUGGGACAAGCCGGCUCUCAAGGAGGGAGGAUUGUCAGCGACGCACAGGUGCAGGAUACUGAAGAUCACCACCAAGCGGCAACAGAGCCCGAUACUGUUCACCAUCUGA